GGAGUCGGCUUCCUCAGCUGCUGUCAGGCAGGCACUGCUGCCUGAACACUGCGUGUGCAUGUGCAGCAUCCUCACAGGGUCAUCCUCUCUCUAAAACUCCAUUGAACCAUUCCCCAACCAUUGCAAGCUGCCCACAGGCUUUCACCAUAACCCCUGAGACACAGCCAGCACAGGGCAGCUGGGGAUGACCUGAAAUUCAUGCUGAAGGCAGAGACACUUCUACAUUCAAAGCCUCCAAUUUCCACUACCAAGCUGGUCAGACCAUGAAGAAGUGGGAAAUGGCCUUUUAUCUUUCAAAGUAGUCACCAAAAAUGUUCCUGUGUUGCUUACAAGAAAGAAGAGGAUAAUCCAGUGUCAGCUAAAAAAGGACCCCUGAACAAGUUUAUUUCCAGGAUGGCUGGGUGCUCAGAGACCUGCACUGAGCUGACAGAUCCUGAAGUAUCUCUGGUGGCUGAAUGCCUGCAGGCUCUGGAAGCAAACCCUGGAGUAAGGAAAUUCUUGCUGCAGUCAUCUGCCCAAACUGUGCCAGAAGGAGCCAGUGCUCAAGGACAGCUGCUGGAGUGCAGCUGGCAUCCCAGGAUGGGAGCUCCUGGUGAGGAACAGGAGCAGGUCCGAUACUGGAGAUACAGUGGGCUGUGACAAAAUGGAACAGCUGUCUGUGGACUUCACUGUGUCAGACACCACCAUUUUACAGUGAUCCCUGUCCAAUGGAGAACCUUUGGGAGGAGUUUCUCUGCUACAGGCCAAUGUUUGUCACCUUUCAUUUGCAAAUAUCAAGGUAAGGAACAAAGCAAAUGCAUGAAUAUUUGUGUUCAAGCCUGUUUUCUCCUUUGAUAAUUUGAUUAUGAUUAUGUGUUUGCUGUACAGCUCUGGGAUUCCCUGCUGGACUCUGCCCCAAGCACUGGCCAGGGGCCCACUGGCUCCAAACCAGUUCUCUGCAUAGAAGGGUUUGCUCCUGGCUCCUUCACACGGAGAACUCAGUUUAGAUUGCCUGAAUCCACCAAUAAAACUUGGAUUCACCGGACA
rnacentral:lncRNA from 1 species